rnacentral:rRNA from 1 species
GGACUACUGGGGUAUCUAAUCCUGUUUGCUACCCACGCUUUCGCGCCUCAGCGUCAGAACCGGUCCAGGUAGCCGCCUUCGCCACCGGUGUUCCUCCCAGUAUCUACGCAUUUCACCGCUACACUGGGAAUUCCACUACCCUCUCCCGGCCUCUAGCCGUGCAGUUUCAAAGGCAGUUCCUCAGUUGAGCCGAGGGAUUUCACCUUUGACUUGCCCAGCCGCCUACGCGCCCUUUACGCCCAAUAAUUCCGAAUAACGCUUGCCACCUCUGUAUUACCGCGGCUGCUGGCAC